CACGAAACUAUGUGAGUUAAUUUUAGUAUGUUAUCAUGUAGCAGAAUGAUAAGAUUAAUUAAAAUUAGGGGUGAUAGGCUUUACAAACAUAGUGAUAUCUUGAUUCUUUUGAAAUGUAUUAGUACAGGAACAGAUUUAAAGCUAUAAGGUUUUAAAUAAUAAUGAAAUUUGAAUAAAGCUCUAUAAGAUAUAAAAGUCUAUGUAUCUCUCAAAUAAUAAUUUUUGUUAUAUAAUUAUUAAUUUUAAAAAGAUAUAUAAUAACUCAAAUAGUAUUAAUAAUGUUACUAUAAGUAUUAAGAAGAUAUUAAUAGUGAACUCGGCAUUAAGUUUUCAACUGUUUAUCAAAAACAUAGCUGCGUGUAAUUACACGCAGUGUUUUCUGCUCAAUGAAUAUUAAAUAGCCGCAGUACCUUGACUGUGCAAAGGUAGCGUAAUCAUUUGUCUUUUAAUUGAAGUCGUGUAUGAACGAAUAUAUGGAGACUUUCUUUACCAUUAAUAAUUUAAGAAAUUACUUAAUGAGUGAAAAAUCUCAUAAUUAAAUAAUAGACGAGAAGACCCUAGAAAUUUAUAUUGACAUUUUGUUGGGGCAACAUAGUAACAAUUAACUUACUAUAUGUAUAUGAAAUAUAUUAGGUAACUUAAAUUACUCUAGGGAUAACAGCAUAAUAUUAAGAUGUUUGUGACCUCGAUGUUGGAUUAGGGAGUUAUAGUUAGAA
rnacentral:rRNA from 1 species